rnacentral:rRNA from 1 species
UACGUAGGGUGCGAGCGUUGUCCGGAAUUACUGGGCGUAAAGAGCUCGUAGGCGGUGUGUCGCGUCGGCCGUGAAAACCUGCAGCUUAACUGUGGGCUUGCGGUCGAUACGGGCAUCACUGGAGUUCGGCAGGGGAGAACUGGAUUCCUGGUGUAGCGGUGAAAUGCGCAGAUAUCGAGAGGAACACCUGCGGCGAAGGCGGGUUGCUGGGCUGAUACUGACGCUGAGGCGCGAAAGCGUGGGGAGCGAACAGG